rnacentral:rRNA from 1 species
CCUACGGGAGGCAGCAGUGGGGAAUAUUGCACAAUGGGGGAAACCCUGAUGCAGCGACGCCGCGUGAGUGAUGAAGUUUUUAGGUAUGUAAAGCUUUAUUAGCAGGGGAGAAAAUGACGGUACGUGUUCCCGAAUGCCCGUCUAACUACGUGCCAGAUGCCGCGGUACUACGGAGGCGGCCAGCGUAAUCCGGAUUUACUGGGUGUAAAGGGAGCGUAGAGGGGGUGGCAAGUCAGAUGUGAAAGCUCGGGGCUCAACGUCGGGACUGCAUUUGAAACUGGGUGACUGGAGUGCAGGAGAGGUAGGCGGAAUUCGUGGUGUAGCGGUGAAAUGCGUAGAUAUCAGGAAGAACUCCGAUUGCGAAGGCAGCUUACUGGACUGAAACUGACGUUGAGGCUCGAAAGCGUGGGUAGCAAACAGGAUUAGAUACCCUGGUAGUC